UCUCGGGCUUCCCUGGUGGCUCAGCAGGUAAAGAAUCCACCUGCGAUGUGGGAGACCUGGGUUCAGUCGCUGUGUGUGGAAGGUCCUCGGGAGAAGGGCACGGCCGCCCACUCCGGUAUUCUGGCCUGGAGAAUCCCAUGGACGUGUAGUCCAUGUGUAGGCCGUGGGGUCGCAGAGUCGGAAACGAUUGAGCGACUUUCACUUUCUGGAAAGAGUAUCUUGAACUCAUUUUUCUGGAGGGCAGUUUCAUGUUAUCUGUCAAACUUUAAGCAAGGGUUGGGAGCAUAUGGCUUCGUUACCGGAAUAUGUCAGCAUUUCAUGAAGACAUAUUUAGAGUUGUGCAUUGCAGCAAUGUAAUAUCUGGAAAAGCUUACGUGUGCCACAGUCAUGAUGUAAUCAAACGCUGUGUGUCACACCCAUGCUGUGGGUUAAGGGGCCCGUGCCCGUCGGAAAGCAGCUUGUGGAAUGCUGGGUGAGUUGGGUGAGAGGCAGUGCACAGGUCAGUGACCCCGUGUAACCUGAGGGGGUGCAAAUGUUGGGAAGGCACUGGGUGGCUGGCGUCUGGGGACCCGGGGCUGAAAGCUCAGGUUUGCAGCACAGAGGGGCUCUGGCUUCUAUUCUGCACUGCCUCGUAUUAAUGUUCCACGCUGCGGAGGUGCCGUUUGUGAUGAUACAAAGGCCAGUUAAGAGGAGGGAAAGACUAGCUUUAUGACGACGGAGAAAGUUCCUCUUCCUGCUGCUUAUGAACACGUACUGUUGAGACUGCCACUUGUCACCCUGGACAUGGUAAGGAUUUUGAUCUCGAGGGUUUUGGGUUUUGUUUCUUGGAGUCUAGUUGAUUUACAAUCCCAUGUUAGUUUCAGAUGUACAGCAAAGUCAUUCAGUUCUGUGUAUUUUUUCCCAGAUUAUUUUCCAUUAUAGGUCAUUACUAUAAGAUGCGAGACAGUGGCUAUAGGUGUGCUACGCAGUGAAUCCUGCUCUCACCUGUUUUGUGUGUAGUAGUUUGUAUUCGUUAACCCUGCUUUUCCGAGUUUUAGCUCUGCCCCAGGUAUCUGUAACGACAAAAUAGAUGCCCAUGAACACAUGUCUAUUACUGAAGCUCUAGUGUUUGUAACUAGGUGUGAAACAAGCAAGAUGAUAAGCCUGUUCAUAGCGAUUGUUGGGAGGGGACCUUCGGGGCCUGCGUGCGUCAGUGCGUGGGUAAACAGACAUAACUUUAUUAACCGUGGGAGCUGUUUCUGGCUUUGUUGCAGCCAUUUGCACUGACCUGGAAAUCUGCAUGUUUAAAGAAAUGUCAUAAUCUCAUUGUUUCUCUGAUGCACCUUACAUAUAGGAGAAAUAUUUUAAAUCUUGAGACCAUCAUUUGCCACCUCGCAUUUUGACAACUAUAGGUUGCUUUUACCUGGCUUCUGUAAUCAGAUUGAAUUCAUGUUGGAAGUUUACAUUUUAUCGGUCGUAUUAUUUUGUUAGUAUUUAGUUUGUUUAUUUUGAUCUUAGAGCUCUCCUAAAAGCUACAGUGGAUAUUUCUAAUUUUAGACUCAUACAUAUUUACAUAGCUUAAUGAAAAUAAUUUUUCUCACUGCUGGCAGUCAUGGAAUUUCUCUUAAAAGAUUCACACCAUUUUAAUUAAGUGUGAGAAUCACUGGCAGAGCUGGAUACCAUUAAUUAUAUAAUAUUGUGCACCCCCUGGGUAUAAGUGACAUACACUUUCCAUCCCUUUUAGUCCAAUAAGACUAUUUUGGUUUCAUUUAAGCAAAUUUGGUUAUUUCACAUAAUUUAAUUUAAAAGGUGACACUUCUAACAAAAAGCUUUAUUCUUUCCCAAGGCUUACUGAAGAUUUAAAAAAAAACAAAACCCAGCUGGCAGAAUUCAGUACAUUCUUGCUGUUCUUCAGUCGCUAAGUCACGUCUGAUUCUUUGUGACCCCAGGAACGGCAGCACUCCAGGCUUCUCUGUCCUCAGUAUCUCCUGAAGUUUGCCCAGAUUCAUGUCUAUUGAGUCAGUGAUUCUAUCCAACCAUCUCAUCUAAGUAAGAACUUAUUUUAGGAAGGAUAUCAUAAAUUAACAAAUAUAUGUUUGUGCAGAUCUUUAAGAGUUGGGCUUCACUUGUGGCUCAGCUAGUAAAGAAUCUGCCUGCAAUGCAGGAGACCUGGGUUGGGAAGAUCCCCUGGAGAAGGGAAAGGCCGCCCACUCCAGUGUUCUGGCCUGGAGCAUCCCAUGGGCUUCGUAGUCCGUGGGGCUGCAGAGAGCCGGAUACGGCAGAGCGACUGCCACUUUCACUCAAGAGUUCCGUUACUUUGUGGCCCCCUUUCUGGGACGUUCUUCAAGUCGUUUCAACUUCGGGGUCUGUCUUCCGUUAGUAGGUAAGUUGUGUAUCACAGCUGUUUACACCGCAUGGCUUUGAAUGCUCUCUUCCUCUGUAAUGCGGAGGUAGGACACCCGCUUUGAGCAGGCCCCAGCCGCAGGCUUGGGUCUCUUGUGCUCCGACCCUUGCACGGAGCAGCCGGAGAGGAGAGUCUCUGCAGCAGCUGACUAAGAUGAAGAGUCUACUUCUGGUCAGAAAACAUGCUCACACCAGCCUCUCAGAAGACCAGACUUUGUCCAAUCGGUCUGUGCUCAGCAAAGCUGAACCCCAGAGAAAGUGGAUUCCCCUGAAGCCCAACCUGGGUGUCCUUCCCGAUCAGAAAUCUAUGUCAUAAACCCAGGUCCACCUCCUCUGCCUGAAGUGCUUGCCUCUGAACACCCGAGGCCUUUUCGGUCUGGGCUUUGCUCUUUGUUCCUGUGGCUUUACCCCCCUCCGAGCGGCUGUCCAGAUCUCUGUGCUGGCCGUGUCAGAAAUCUCAGCGUCCCACUAGGUGACGAUGCCAUCCUUAUCAAAGGCAGUGACUCCCCAGACCUGAGACUUUCGCUGGUGCUCGCAGUGACGCUGCUUUGUCCAGAAGCUGACCGGUCACCACACAGAGGAACGCACGUCUGUCUCUGUCACGUAAGCAUCAGGUUUGUCUUUAAAGUGACGCCAGGCAUGGAUUUUAAGUUGGGCAGCGGUCUUCUAGAGCCAGUUCUCCGUUUUUGCUUUCUCUCAAAAUUAAUUUCCUAAAUUUCUACUCUGUAUCGAGUAGCAAGACAGCCCAGUCUAGAGAAAUGCUGAUGUGCCAGGGACCCAUGAACCCAUACGGACUCUGGGCUCCAGAGCCAGAAAGUGGAUGCUGGAUAAUUACAGGUUUCUCGUGGAAAUUUUCUUCAUCCAAGGAGAAAACUUCGUAUGUGCUCAUCUUGUCCAGGCUCUGCACUUGGACUCCCCAGCCGCCUGUGUGACUGGGUGCUCCCCGCAGACGGUGAGUGUCUUCAGCAGAACAUCAGAGCUCUUGAGAAAGUUACUUUCCGGUUCUGUGAAACCAGACUGGCCUCACUUCUUCGAUUAUUGGUGAGUGAGGAUGCCGUCUGUUACCUGAUGUCCAUUUCUGUGGCGCUUUGUGUCCUUUGUCGUUUUCUCUGAGUAAUCUGUGAGGACUGUCAUGCGUGAAGGGUUUGUUUAUGCAGUCGCAUCUAUCGUGGUUGUCAUAAAGAUUCUGUCCCCCCAUCAGGAUUCGGAUGCCCGUCUUGUGACCAGGCUCAUAAAGCUGGGGACUGGCAUGUGCUUCCUGGGGUCUGCUGGCACUCUUGUGCCUUGAAUCCACUCACAGGGGCGGGCUGGUGCCCUGUGGCUCCUCGCCUCCCGCUUGACUUUCAGCCAGUACCCAACCUUGCCCCUUGGCAAGCUCUCUCCUGAGCUGGGUCACCACUGUCUCAUUUUGGGGGUGGUUCCUCCCCCAGCCAGGGGGGUGGGGGGGCGUCCUCAAAGGCCUGUGCUGACCAGUCCUCCGGAACCCACUGGCCGCUCGGCCCGAUUCUGGGCUGGCCUGGUCCCCACUCUGCUUGGCACCUGGCGAUGCCUGCAGCCGGGUGCUGGGCAGCAUCGCGCUCCAGUGCUUCGGGGCCCUGCGCGUGCUGUCUGACGGCUGCAGACGCUGCUGCGGGGUCACCGGGUAUGUCAGCCUCCUCGUCCGUUCCUGCACGCCUGGCCGGACCCACAGCCGGGUCCACUCCUCCUCGUGUUCUCAGUCAAGCAGUGUCUGUUUGGCAGCCUGCCGUGUGACCUUGCUCUGAUAGCUUAGAACAUGCUCUUGACAUCGGAUACCUCGACCCUGUCGGGAUCCUUUGGAGUCUGGCAAUGCUCCUGCGUCUGCGCCGUUUCGUGGCUGUUCAUGUGGGACUCGAGUGCAGUGGGCACUUGGCCGCUUUUCUUCCUUAUCUUUUAAUGUGUGUUAUGUUGCUUUGAAAGUCUUUCAUAGAAGGCUAGCAGUCACAAUGAGGUGAAGGCAGCCCCCUCUCCCCAGGCGUUGCUGGAUCUGAUUAGUCCAUUAACGUACAUCUUCUUACGUAGCAGAUUACAGUGCCUGUAAUCGCCUCCUUCAAACACCUAAGCUCUUAAACCUCCUGCCUGCGAGCCCUGCCUUAACCAUGCGCUUCCAGACAUCAUGGACAGAAGCCAGCCAACAUGGAGGAGCUGACGGAGGUGGUCACAGUGGCAGAGCCUGACCCCCUCCAGUGUUGCCUGCUCAUCCACAGCGGAGGCCGACCCCCUCCAGUGCCGCAAGCCCAUCUACAGUGGACCCUGAUCACUACCAGUGCCGCCAGCUACGUCCACGGCGGAGCCUGCCCCCCUCCAGCCCGAGCCCCUCCAGGGCAGCGUGCUCGUCCACGGCGGAGCCCGAUCCCCUCCAGGGCAGCGUGCUCGUCCACGGCGGAGCCCGAUCCCCUCCAGGGCAGCGUGCUCGUCCACGGCGGAGCCCGAUCCCUUCCAGGGCAGCGUGCUCGUCCACGGCGGAGGCCGAGCCCCUCCAGGGCAGCGUGCUCGUCCACGGCGGAGCCCGAGCCCCUCCAGGGCAGCGUGCUCGUCCACAGUGGAGGCCGAUCCCCUCCAGGGCAGCGUGCUCGUCCACGGCGGAGCCCGAUCCCCUCCAGGGCAGCGUGCUCGUCCACGGCGGAGGCCGACCCCCUCCAGGGCAGCGUCUACAGCAGCAGCACAGGGCCGUCUGCCCCUGUGACACGCGGUCCUCCGCCCCGCACUGCCGGCACGCCAAGGAAGUGGAGACACUGUGUUUUCCGGUUUUGGAAGAGCCCAGCAGUAGGUCCUUCUCAGAAAUCAUCUCCUCCGUGUCCGACAUGAAAUUCAGCCGCAGCGGUCAGUAUGGGAUGAGCCAGGACUGCCUGUCAGUGGAGGUGUGGGGCCUCGACACGGAGCGCCGGCCCGUCGAGACCCACCGGGCGAGGCCUUGGGGGCCACCACCCCGACCUUCCUGCGCUUCCAUUAAGGUUCACGAGCACCUGCGAAGCAAGCCGUGUCCACUCUGCGAAAAUGACUGCAUCUUCGAUAACUGAGUGCUGCUGGAGGGGCUCCACCAGCGCUGUCCUCACGGGCCCUACAACAGCUCCUCCUGGGUGUUCGACCGGUCCACCCCGAGGGUCAAGACGCCAGAGGCCUGCAGGGUGAACAGCAAGCCUUGGGCCAGCCUGCAGCCUCGCAGGGUCUGAGCCUGCCUUCCAGAUUAGAGACCAGACACUCACACCCAAGAGGAGUCGUCAGAACGGUGGAAUGUACGUAGUGCCUGAGGCUCUGAGCGUGUGCAUCCCCAAACUUCUGCAACCCUUGUUUCUGCAGAACUGGUACCGCCGACCCACCAGGUGAGGACUGGACGAAGCCUCAGCUGAGAGAGAAGAUCAUAGGGAGCAGCCUCAGAACUGCUGCUGAGAAGCUGACACGGGGUUUGAAUCACGCCGCAGAUGCACUGCCGUUGAAAACUUUCGCGCUUUUUCUAAACCUUUUUUAAAGUACUAGGUUCAAAAUGGGUCAGAAAGCAGCGGCGACAGCUCGCAACGUCUACAGCGCGUUUGGGCCAGGAACAGCUAAUGAGCAUACACUGCAGCGGGGGUUCGUUUGCAAAGAAGAUGAGAGCCUUGAAGACGGAGUGCAGUGGCCAACCGUCAGAAGCUGACAGUGAGCAACGGAGGGCCAUCAUCCACGCUGAUCCGCUAACUACGUAAGAAUCUGCCACAGAACUCAAGCGCCAACUGUGCUACGGUCAUUUGGCAUUUGAAGCAAAUUGAAGAGGUAAAAAGGCUCACUAAGUGGGUGCCUCGUGAGGUGACCAAACAUUUUUUUAUAAAUGGUCAUUUUUAAGCCUUGUCUUUCUUCUCUUACUGUAUGCAAAACCUAAGAACCACGUCUCAGUUGGAUUGUGACGGGUGAUGAAAAGCGGAUUUUAUACAACUGGCAGUGACCAGCUCAGCGGCUGGACUGAGAAGAAGCUCCAGAGCACUUUCCAGAGUCACACUUGCACCAAAAAUAGGUCAGGUCACUGGUGGUCUGCUGCCCCUCUGAGCCACGACAGCUUUCAGAAUCCCAGUGAAACCAUUCCACCUGAGAAGUAGGCUCAGCAGACCAAGGAAAUACACCAACAACUGCAACACAAGCCACCGUCGGUCAACAGAAAGGGCCCAGGUCUCCCCAGCGACGCCCGACCACGUCUCACAAGCAGCGCUUCGGGAGCUGAGAAGCAGCUCAGCGACUUUCUGCAGAGAAAGCAUUUCCACAACCAGCGGGAGGCAGAAGCUAUUUUCCAAGCGUUCAUCAGAUCCCAAAACAUGGAUUUUUAUGCUACAGAAAUAUUAACUAUAACUAUUUAUUGCUCCUUGGAAGAAAAGCUAUGACCAGCCUAGACAGCAUAUUCAAAAGCAGAGACGUUACUUUGCCGACA